rnacentral:rRNA from 1 species
GACGAACGCUGGCGGCGUGCUUAACACAUGCAAGUCGAACGGAAAGGCCCUGCUUUUGUGGGGUGCUCGAGUGGCGAACGGGUGAGUAACACGUGAGUAACCUGCCCUUGACUUUGGGAUAACUUCAGGAAACUGGGGCUAAUACCGGAUAGGAGCUCCUGCUGCAUGGUGGGGGUUGGAAAGUUUCGGCGGUUGGGGAUGGACUCGCGGCUUAUCAGCUUGUUGGUGGGGUAGUGGCUUACCAAGGCUUUGACGGGUAGCCGGCCUGAGAGGGUGACCGGCCACAUUGGGACUGAGAUACGGCCCAGACUCCUACGGGAGGCAGCAGUGGGGAAUAUUGCACCAUGGGCGGAAGCCUGAUGCAGCAACGCCGCGUGCGGGAUGACGGCCUUCGGGUUGUAAACCGCUUUCGCCUGUGACGAAGCGUGAGUGACGGUAAUGGGUAAAGAAGCACCGGCUAAAUACGUG